CCGGCGAAGCGGGGGUACCGCGGCGCCGUCCAGGCGCGCGGUUGAGACAGUCCCUUGGAACCUGAUCCGGCUGAUACCGGCGUAGGGAAGCUUCGCAGGACGGGAU
rnacentral:ncRNA from 2 species